rnacentral:rRNA from 1 species
AUUGAACGCUGGCGGCAGGCCUAACACAUGCAAGUCGAACGAGUGGCGGACGGGUGAGUAAUGUCUGGGAAACUGCCUGAUGGAGGGGGAUAACUACUGGAAAAGGUAGCUAAUACCGCAUACCAUCAGAUGUGCCCAGAUGGGAUUAGCUUGUUGGUGGGGUAACGGCGCACCAAGACGACUAUCCCGAGCUGGUCUGAGAGGACGACCCGCCACACUGGAACUUAGACACGGUCCAGCCUCCUACGGGAGGCAGCAGUGGGGAAGAUUGCACAAUGGGCGCAAGCCUGAUGCAGCCAUGCAGCGUGUAUGAAGAAGGCCUUCGGGUUGUAAAGUACUUUCGGCGGGGAGGCGUUACCCGCAGAAGAAGCACCGGCUAACUCCGUGCCAGCAGCCGCGGUAAUAC